CUCGCCCAGCCCGCAACCGUCACGUGCUGAGGCGCGGCGUCCGGCCCGUAGCUGAUGCUGCCGCGCGGUAUUCGUCAUGGAGCUGGCGCCGCGGAGUUGUCUUAUGCCGGUGCUGCUGCUGCUCCUGGGCCUGAGCACGGGAGCUGUCAUCAGCUGGCCCACAGAAGAGGGCAAGGAAGUAUGGGAUUAUGUGACUGUCCGGAAGGAUGCCCACAUGUUCUGGUGGCUCUAUUAUGCCACCAGCCCCAGCAAGAACUUCUCAGAACUGCCCCUGGUCAUGUGGCUUCAGGGUGGUCCAGGUGGUUCCAGCACUGGAUUUGGGAACUUUGAGGAAAUCGGGCCCCUUGACAGAGAUCUCAAACCACGAAGAACUACUUGGCUCCAGUCGGCCAGUCUCCUGUUUGUGGAUAACCCAGUGGGCACUGGGUUCAGUUAUGUGAACAAGAGUGACGCAUACACCAAAGACCUGGCCAUGGUGGCAUCAGACAUGAUGGUUCUCCUGAAGACUUUCUUUGAAUGCCACAAAGAAUUCCAGACGAUUCCAUUCUACAUUUUCUCAGAGUCCUAUGGAGGAAAAAUGGCUGCUGGCAUUGCUCUAGAACUUUAUAAGGCCACUCAGCAAGGGACCAUCCAGUGCAACUUUGCCGGGGUUGCUUUGGGCGAUUCCUGGAUCUCCCCCAUCGAUUCAGUGCUCUCCUGGGGACCUUACUUGUACAGCAUGUCUCUUCUCGACGACCAAGGUCUGGCAGAGGUGUCUCGGGUUGCAGAACAAGUCCUGGAUGCCAUAAAUAAGAGACUCUACAAAGAGGCCACCGAGCUGUGGGGGAAAGCAGAAAUGGUCAUUGAACAGAACACAGACGGGGUGAACUUCUAUAACAUCUUAACUAAGACGUCUCCCACGUCUACCAUGAAAUCGAGUCUAGAAUUCACCCAGAGCCACAUAGUUCACCUUUUCCAGCGCCACGUGAGACACUUACAGCAGGAUGCCUUAAGUCAGCUCAUGAAUGGUCCCAUCAGAAAGAAACUCAAAAUUAUUCCUGAAGAUUGCUCCUGGGGAGGUUCCAAGCUGCUACCUCUUUCUCCUUCCCCUUGUACAGGCCAGGCUGCCAGCGUCUUCCUGAACAUGAAGGGGGACUUCAUGAAACCCGUCAUCAGCAUUGUGGACGAGCUGCUGGAAGCCGGGGUCAACGUGACCGUGUAUAAUGGACAGCUUGACCUCAUCGUGGACACCAUGGGUCAGGAGGCCUGGGUGCGAAAACUGAAGUGGGCAGAACUGCCCAAAUUCAGUCAGCUGAAGUGGAAGCCCCUGCACAGUGACCCUGAGACUUCAGAAACGUCUGCCUUUGUCAAGUCCCACAAGAACCUGGCUUUCUACUGGAUUCUCAGAGCUGGACACAUGCUGAUUAAGUGUCAUUUUGGCAUACCCCACCGUGCCUGUGCCUCCUGGGGGCCAAGCUUGGCAGGAGAGUCAGCAGGAGUGUGAGAAUCGUGGAGCCGCAGAAUUUCAGAACUUGGAGUCAUCUACUCUACCGCCAUCCUUGUGAAGGACAAACUGAGGCCUCUGCCCCUCCCCCUCUUGAUGGUUCCUUCCGACCAAGGGGACAUGGCUCUGCAGAUGAUGAGGCUGGUGACUCAGCAAGAAUAGGAUGGCCUGGGCUGGAGGUGAGCUGCUUGGCCUUGGGGCACGGAAGCCGAAGCAAGCGCCCUGAAGGUGUAGGAACCACUCUUCUCCCUUUGAAUCUGACUCGGGGGGAGAACCUCACUUGGGCUGUGAUUGUGAAGGGUCCCAUCAGCUUCGACAGAGAACAAAAUCAUUGCCUCUGUGACAACUUGGAAAUCAUUUCUGCUUCUGAAAACUAAGUUUUAAAAAACUGGAUUGGGGGCUUCCCUGGUGGCGCAGUGGCUGAGAGUCCGCCUGCCGAUGCAGGGGACACGGGUUCAUGCCCCGGUCCGGGAAGAUCCCACAUGCCGCGGAGCGGCUGGGCCCGUGAGCCAUGGCCGCUGAGCCUGCGCGUCCGGAGCCUGUGCUCCGCAACGGGAGAGGCCACAACAGUGAGAGGCCCGCAUACCGCAAAUAAAUAAAUUAAUUAAUUAAUUAAAAUUAAAAACUGGAUUUGUUUUCAUCAAAAUAAAGGGUUGAAGUAGAUUAACAUUUUCUUAUUACAAAAGCAAAUUAUGCGAUUUAUAGAAAAAUCAGGAAAUACAGGCAAACAAAGAACAAAAUGAACACUCACGCUCCCUUCCCACGGAUAAGCACUGUUACCACUUAAGUGUUUAUUCUUGCACAUCUUUUUUUGCUAUGUAUACAUAUAUAUUUUACACAAAAACGCAAUCAUUGCUAUGUUAUUUCAUAGUCUGCUUUGUUCACACAUCAGUAUGAUGUCUGCUGAGCAUUCCAUUUUAUGGAUGUACCAUAAUUUACCUACCAAAUGCCCAGUGUUGCCCAUGAGCAGUGUCUAGUUUGUCGCUUUUAUAAACGGUGCUCUGGUGGUUUAUCCUGUUAGUUACAUUUUUACACACAUCCUUAUCAUUUUCUUAGAAUAAUUUCCUGAAAGCAUACUUGUUCAGUUAAAAAAUUGUAACAUUUCUUUAAAAUUAAAAUGAUGAGUUUGGGACUUUAGAGUUUUAAUUCAUGGCUCAAGAUCUGCAAAGGGACCUGAUAGCUUCUAUGGUAGCCCUGAAAGAAUACCACUUCCUGUAGUUGUGGGGCUGAGAUUUUGAAAACCAAACCCAAAGUCUCGUCCUGCAGUAUGUGAGGAAAGAGUUACUAACAGGUUACGCCUACGUGACGAGCCCCUUCUGACCUGAGACUAAAACAGGCUUCCUUGGGUGGUGCUCCACGCUUUCCCCACAAUUCGGUUUGCUGUUGGGAAGAGAGGGCUCCUGUACUCCUGUGUGGAUGGGGAAGAAUGCAGAGACUUGUGCUGGGCCCCUCUGGACUCCACCAAUGCGUAUCGUUCUGCUGCUUCUGCCGGGUAUCAUUUGCUGGAAAAAAAUUGAACUGUGAGUAUAAC